rnacentral:rRNA from 1 species
AACGCGAAAGGCCCCUUCGGGGGCCGAGUAGAGUGGCGUCCGGGUGAGUAACACGUGAGUAAUUUGCCUUCGGGUGGGGAAUAACAACCGGAAACGGUUGCUAAUACCGCAUAAUGCAGCGGCACCUAAUGGUGACAGUUGUUAAAGCGGGGGAUUCGCAAGAACCUCGCGCCUGAAGAGAAGCUCGCGGCGGAUUAGCUAGUUGGUAGGGUAACGGCCUACCAAGGCCACGAUCCGUAGCCGGCCUGAGAGGGCGGUCGGCCACACUGACACUGACACACGGGUCAGACUCCUACGGGAGGCAGCAGUCGGGAAUUUUAGGCAAUGGGCGAAAGCCUGACCCAGCAACGCCGCGUGAAGGAUGAAGUUUUUCGGAAUGUAAACUUCACAAGAAUGGGAAGAAUAAGGAGGGGUUAAUACCCCCUUCGAUGACGGUACCAUUUGUAAGCUCCGGCUAACUCCGUGCCAGCAGCCGCGGUAAUACGGGGGGAGCAAGCGUUGUUCGGAUUUACUGGGCGUAAAGGGCGCGUAGGCGGCGCAACAAGUCACUUGUGAAAUCUCCGGGCUUAACUCGGAGCGGCCAAGUGAUACUGUCGUGCUAAAGUGCGGAAGGGGCAACUGGAAUUCUCGGUGUAGCGGUGAAAUGCGUAGAUAUCGAGAGGAACACUGCGGCGAAGGCGGGUUGCUGGGCCGACACUGACGCUGAGGCGCGAAAGCCAGGGGAGCGAACGGGAUUAGAUACCCCGGUAGUCCUGGC